AGUGAGUUGAAAGUGGUAGUUGCUAAUCAUGAAAGUAUGUCGGUCCGAACAUUUUCGAUUCUGGGUAUGUGAAAGAUCUCAAUAUAUUUCAAGUUCGUGGUAAGAUCUUUUACCUUUUGAAGAUACUUCAUCAUAAUGGGGUCUCGGGUUUCAAAUUCACUCUUGACCUGUCCAGCAAUCAGUUGUGAGUCGGUGAAGAUCCUCAGAC
rnacentral:lncRNA from 1 species